UACGGAGGGGGCUAGCGUUGUUCGGAAUUACUGGGCGUAAAGAGCGUGUAGGCGGCUCGGUAAGUCCGCUGUGAAAGUCCAGGGCUCAACCCUGGAAGGCCGGUGGAAACUGCCGGGCUAGAGUCCGGAAGAGGAGAGUGGAAUUCCUGGUGUAGCGGUGAAAUGCGCAGAUAUCAGGAAGAACACCAAUGGCGAAGGCAGCUCUCUGGGACGGUACUGACGCUGAGACGCGAAAGCGUGGGGAGCGAACAGG
rnacentral:rRNA from 1 species